rnacentral:lncRNA from 1 species
UGAAGAGCUUCCAAAGGAAUACCGUGAUAGGUGUCAGGUAUUCAUGUUCUGUUCUUGGUUUCAUUAUUUUCAUCCGCUGUAGUAUUUAUAUUGUGCUGCAUCAUUCAUACAGGAUAUUCUUUGUAAUGAUCGCGAAAGAAAAGGUAGAUCUCAAUUUCAUUGGUAAAAUCUGGUAAUGCAAAUCCCCCUCUGCCUCCUCAGUUCAGAGUCAUCGUUCUAUAUUAGUGGAUAUGAAAAACAAUUCUAACUAUCCUUGCUCGAAAUUGGUUGGUGGUGUCCAAUGCAGACUAAAAAAAUUGAGUUGAUUUUGCUUUCCACAAUAUGUUCAUCUCAGCCACAAGGUAGAGAGAGAUCACCAGAUAACAAAUCUUUUAGUAAAAAGUAAAUUACAGCCAUCGCUGAACCAUAGGUUUGCAAGUUUCUUGGAUCGAGACUUGACAAACACGUACUCCCUCCGUCCCAAAAUAGAUGACUCUACUAAAGUUAGUACAAAGUUGAGUCAUCUAUUUUGGGACGGAGGGAGUAAUUAAUUAGACAGCUGGCCUACUAAACGAGGAACCAAUAUCGCUGAGAUUCAACAUUCAGGAAAGUAUUACAUAUGGAAAAUCCUCUACAACAGAGGAGACUGUUAGAAUUGUUUUUGAUGGUGUUUAUUUGAAUUUUGUCAGUGUGAAUACUGAAUCAGCAGGAAACCUUCGAGAGAUGUCAGUGCAACAUUCCUUAUGCAACUGCUACUGCAAUUGAUUCCUUUCCAAGCGCCUUCUAUAGAGCUUCGCAGCAUCUAUCUUCUUGAAUUUACAUGGAUUCGAUUUAGUUACUUUACCUGUAAUAAGCAGCAUCAUGCUCAUUGUUGAAUAGUUUCUCUCAAAUAAUUUCCAUUUUAUAGGAUUUGCUAUGAACUGACAACUUUAAAUCUUUGCUUCUUUUCAUCAGAUCAUGUCUGAAGCACUAGAGUGUGGUUCAUGUGUAGAGGCUUUCACAUACUUCCAUGGGUAGAUUGUACUUUCAUGACGUAGGUGUUUAUUUAAUAUACUAAGUCAAGCAUCCUUGUCCCGAAAGAGUGUUAGAGGCAACAAUACUCCUCCCGCUGGACAGCCAACUCUAC